rnacentral:misc_RNA from 1 species
CGCACCUUGCGCUCCUUGGUAUUCCGAGGAGCAUGCCUGUUUGAGUGUCAUUAAAUUCUCAACCUUACUAGCUUUCACAAGCUUGGUAAUGGCUUGGAUAUGGGGGUAUUUUGCUGGUUGUUUCACAAUGAACAGCUCCCCUUAAAGAAAUUAGCUGGUACCCUGCGCGGACUGUCUAUUGGUGUGAUAAUUAUCUACGCCGUUGACUGCUGCCUUAAAUGGGUGUACUGCUUAUAAUCGUCCUUUGGACAAUACAUGACUAUUUGACCUCAAAUCAGGUAGGACUACCCGCUGAACUUAA